CCCCAGUAUGCUGUGAAAUCUGAAGAAGCUUCUUGGAUGAGAAGCGAAAGGUCUUCAAAAGGGGAAAAAAAAAAAAAGGAAGUCCAGUUGCCUCCUGAAAAAGCACCUUUGCGACAACCGUGACUUGGAUGACUGAGAAUCUCCACAGACAUAUAUGAUAGCCAUAGCUCCAGCCCGGGAAGAUGGCGGUAAAGUGAAUCAACGAGAGUCGGCGCGGGCAGAAGAAAGAGAGCACGCCUGCUUUUCCACAUUACCUCAGGACGGAGCCUUCGCUCGCUCUCUUCCCGCCUUUCGGCUAUCCAGCUCCAACCCGGCCGAGCCGGCGCCGCGCCCACCGCCGCCGCCCUGGGGAGUGGCAGGCAAACUGUGGCGGGUCUUGCUCCGGCUGUAAGCGGGGAGGAGAGGGCGGUGGUGAUUCGCUUGGGAGCUCGGGAUGCGGGGAGAGACGGAUGCCUCUGAGCUCCUGCAGAGCGCCUUUGGCUUUUCUCCGAGCGGGGACCUUUGUCGGCUGCCACUUGCCCUUCUGCCCUCGCCCCGGCUUAUGCUGCGUUUGGAGUGCUGCCAGCAGCGGCUGGACACACCCGGCUGUUGAUGAGAACCACCUGCCCUUUAGCAGGGGCAUCGUUUUGCUUGACGGUGGCUGCGUUGACAACGUCCUGAAAGUUGGUGAGUCAUUUGGGCUUCAGUGGAUGGAAGUGGUGGCGGGAGGGUGAUGCUAUCAUUUCUCUCCCCCUCAUGCCCCACUUUGCUUCCCGUCCCAGAGCUUUGGGUCAUGGUCUUGUCAGAGUCUUUCCCUCCUGCCUGUAUUCUUCAAGUGGACUCUCUUGGUUCAUUCAGCUGUACAGUUGGGAGCUCUCUUCUUGCUCCAGCCGCCCGAACCCCCCCGUGGACCUUUCCCCUCUCUUUAAGCUUGGUUUCUCUGUCAGUUCCUUAAGAAUACAGACUGGCGGGGAGGAGGAAGCUGAAUGAAUGAAUCGGCAGGAGAAUCCUCUGGGACAGGGGUUGCCAACCUUUUGGACCUCAGGGACCAUUAAACUCAGAAUUUUAAAUCCUGCGGACUACUAAUAUGAAUUUUGAUUGAUGGUAGCUUGCUGAUUUUUUCCCAGGGUCUCUGCAGAAAGCAGCAGGGAUCCUAGGAAAAUCCCAAAAAUAGUUUGCAGGAAAAUUUCCCAUCCCAUUUUCCUACCGAUCGAUCAUUCUUUAUUUGGGAUCACAGGAUAGCAUUUCCAGCUCCGUUCUUAGGGGAGAGAGACUUUUGGCUUCAUGCAAGGAAAGCAGCAGAAGCAGCAGAAGUCUUUCUUUCUCUCCCCCAAACUCNAAGUCUUUCUUUCUCUCCCCCAAACUCCGCCAGA
rnacentral:lncRNA from 1 species